rnacentral:lncRNA from 1 species
AUGGUUAAUUUGAUCAAAAGUAUUUCCUUUCCUUUCCUUCUUUCUGGAGAUUGGUCAUCUCUAAGUAGACCUAACAUAAACCCUAUACAUUUUUUCGAAUCUUCUUAUUUGUUUACGAACUUUUUGAUUUUUCAGUUGUUCAGUGGAUGAUCCAGAUCUCCGUUUAGCAGCUAUGCACUUUCUGCGAUUGUGGGGAUCCUCUUUUCUACAAUUUUCACCUUCUUCUUCGCAUUAGGUGCUUCAAUUUAAGAUUCUUCAAUUUUUUGAAGAACGGUCUAAUUUACUCAGACACCUUGAGGCAACCAAAGGUACACUUCAUAUGAAGGAAGGCAUUGUAAACUAUUCAACACAGAUUAUUUGAGGCUAUUGUAGAACUGUUAAGUUGAAUGGACACAAUAAUUAAUCUUAAUCAACAAUUUUUUUUUUCUGUUUUUGUAUUAUUUUUUAAAGCAUCUUAUUUUUACGGACAUGGUAAUUGAUGUUAAUAAGCAUCUUAUAUGUUUUAUCUUUAUAGAUACCAAAGGCCACACAGUUGGUACUGUUUCGUUGCCAGGUUUGGACCCAUUAGGGCAUCUAGGAGAAGGUAACAUUAAGAGCCCCUUAACUUUUCGAAUAUAAAAUCUUAAAAUAAUUAUAAAUGAAAGUUGCGUCAACUGUUAGCCGAUGGUUCCACAACCUUUAAGGUUUGUGUAAGUUCAAACAUAAUAGAGUUAGAACACCCGCUAGCUAUGUGCGUCUGUUAAGGAAACAUUUCACAUUAAUGAUAUUUUGGCUUAUAUUUUAUGUUGGUAAUCAUCACCAACUCUUUAAGAAAUGUGUUGAUUUGUGUUGUUAGAACCCCCACCUCCACCUCAGCCUUCAUCUCCACCCCCUUCACUACAAUAUUAAUCGCCAUAAGUAUAAUUAUAGCCCGUGAGCCCAUUUGGGCAUGUUUUUUCUCAAGUGACCCGCUCAAUUUGGUCAUGACUUCCAUCUUCAUCGGAUGUAAAUACCUUGAGUUUUUGCAGUCAAUUGAACUUGAAUUUUGUAGUCACUGUGAGUGAAGUUGAGGCUUUGUAUGAGCUUUUCAAGGAGUUCAGUAGCUCCAUCCUUAAUGAUGGUCUCAUGCACAAGUGUUAUUUUUGAAUGUGGACCAAAACAGACCCAUUUACAUCUACCGUACUUCUAGGAUGACUCAUUAUGUUGUACCGAGGAUUGGUAGCAUCAAGCUUGACUCUAUACAAUUUAUCAUGAGAGAAUGGACAAACUAAGAUAAAAUGAGUACCCCAUUAUAAAUGGUUGAUGUCACUGGACCAUUGUCUUCUCCGGUCAAACUUACACCGACCAGCGCCAUUCCUGGUGAGGGUUUUGUGGUUGUAAUCUCUAUGCUUGAUAAAGUUCCCUGACUACUGAACUUGAGGAAAUGAUGGUCGACAUUCUCAUGUUAUGUAUGCAUACUUGAUAGUGGAGGAUGAUUCUGCAAAAAAGGAUAAUACCAAAGUUACCCUAAAUUUAUGGAAUACAUGAAGAAAGUUGUCAUAGAGUUGAGAGCAUAUCAUUCUAUUCUUUUUGAAAUUGAAAGGCGAAAGAUUGCUGCUUAAGGCAUUGUUAUAUCUAGGACCAUUUUGAUAAGGACACACAGUGAGGAGGAUAGGGACAAGCUUGCAGUUGCCAAGCACUAUCAACCAAAAUCAAUUGUGCGUCAAGUGACGUGGUUCAAUGGGUUAUUUUCAUAACAGCUAUGACCGUGAAGUUAACUUAUGAACAGGAUACCAAGAAUGGUGUGAGUAAACAUCGGUUGAUGUACUUUGGGAAACUUGUGGUUGUAUAUUGCUUGUAACGAGAUACAAAGUCGUAUCGAAUGCAUAAAACAGAGAACAUUUUUUAUGGUUGCAUAUCUUCAUGAUGCUUAGUGUUUCAAGUCUCUUGGAAGAAAAAAAAUGGAAAACAAGAUGAGUGUGUAUGCCAAUGGUAUAUUAAAUCGA